UUUUUUUAUCAUUUAGCUAGCUUCUCAACCUGAGUCAGGUGAGAUUAAUUCAGCUAAUGAAUCCAAUCAACUGACUCCUACCUGUGAUCCCGCUUGCCUGAUCUCUUAGUGUGUGGACCACAUCCAUCAGGCGCUCAGAAGUUUCACUCUCAGUACAAGACACCUUCCUGGACCCUGAUGGUGUCUUAUCUUGCAUUGAGCUGCAUCUGAUGAAGAUUGCUGACAGCAUAAUGGCUGGGAAAACAUCGGACAGCUCCAUAAAAUGGCAGCUAUGUUAUGACAUGUCAGCCAGGACCUGGUGGAUGCAGACAGGUUCAUGGUGUUACCAAGUGGUAAGGCAGCAGGGAGAGAAACCGUGGUCGCCAGCAGCUGUCAUCCUCUACUCUCUCAGCUCUGCCUUUUGCAUAGUGAUGAAGACCUUGCAGGAGUCUACAGAGUCAGAGGAUUUGGAAAAGGCUGACAAUGUAGUUUGCGGGAUACAUGACCAAAGCAAGGUGACUGUGGAAUAAGUGAGCAUUUUGCUUCAUUUAGUAUUUUUGAUGAAAUUUUAUUUAAGAGGACUGAUUAUUUUCCCAUGCCUAAGAUUUCAGUUCCCUUUCCAUGUGCAUUACCUUUAUUGUUGCUUUUUUAUUAAAUUUUUUAUUAUAGUUGA